rnacentral:rRNA from 1 species
UACGUAGGGUGCGAGCGUUUGUCCGGAAUUAUUGGGCGUAAAGAGCUUGUAGGCGGUUUGUCGCGUCUGCUGUGAAAAUCCGGGGCUCAACUCCGGACUUGCAGUGGGUACGGGGCAGACUAGAGUGGUGGUAGGGGAGACUGGAAUUCCUGGUGGUAGCGGUGAAAUGCGCAGAUAGUCAGGAGGAACACCGGUGGCGAAGGCGGUCUCUGGGCCGAUGACUGACGCUGAGGAGCGAAAGCGUGGGGAGCGAACAGG